UUAAUACUCCCUCCAUCUCAAAAUUCUUGUCUUAAAUUUGUCUAAAUACGGAUAUGUCAAGCCACGUUUUAGUAUUAGAUAAAUCCGUAUCUAGACAAAUCUAAGACAAGAAUUUUUGGACGGAGGGAGUAUCUC
rfam:Triticum aestivum genome assembly, contig: Triticum_aestivum_CS42_TGACv1_scaffold_288345_4AL